CCGAUUCCUCUCGAAGGGAGCCCGGAAAGGAACUAGAUCCUUCCGAGUCUCCUCCGUUAAUUUUUCGUAUAACGACGAACCGCGUGGAUGAUCCGACAGAAAACGCGCACUUAGGGAAGCCCGAUGAGACUGCUCGAGGAUCUCCGUCAAGAGAGAUAGGCUUCCUCGAUCGAGUUUCAUAGGCUGACGCGGGGUUUGUUUAGCAUCCUUAUGAUGGUUCGUUAUCGGCCCUCUCGUCUCGAGGGCUGAUAUCACGGGGUUAUCGUACAGAGGAUGUCACAAGACUAGUCUAUGCAAGCGCAAGACCAAGACCAUGGUGGGCCCGGUCUUGUUCUUGAUCUUGCUUUUUCUGAGACUGAGAUCAAGAUGCAUUGAAAUCAUCGUCUAGUUUGUAAUGAGAUAACCGAAACGCUGAAAGUAGACUGCUCUUUUAAAUUUUUAUCGUCUCGAGCUGUUAUUAGGAUAGAGUAUAGCGUAGUACAGUGUAUCGAUACUUGUUGGAAAUUAACUCGUAACGAUACUCGGUUAUCACUCGUUUUCGUGUCCCACUCGGCGAAAGGGCCGAUGCGAAUCGAGGUUAAUUGAAUCGAAUGGCUGUUUGGGAAUCGUCGCGAGCUUCUACUAUCGCAAACGAAGUAUAGGCAACUGUAUUAAUAGCUUACGAAGAAACGCCCUCUCGAGGGUAAUUAUUGGUGAACACGCGCCCGAGCUUUGCAAGCUGCACAACAGGCCAUUCCCUCGCUGGCGGAAAUAGAUUUAUUGUCACCUCUGAAAACGGUUUGUUUUUACCCGCGAAUGCCAUCACGGCAGUUCUGGGACUCCUCCAGAUAAGAAUUGAAUCGAUGACACUUUUCAAUCUCUUUUACAUGCCUUUUCCAUUUCCUUGCAGGCAAGGAUUUGUCUAAACGAAAAUUCGCCGACCAUAACAAAAAGGAAAAUAUUCCACCAAUGAAGUAUAUCGUUAAUCCGGGGAACAAUUAUUUCACUCGAACACGAAGAAAUUCAUAAUUCAGGAUUCACGUUUGCGGAUUUACCGAAUCCGAAGUAUAGGAAGAACAGGAAACGAUGGAAUUUGCCGGAAUUCCUUGCCACGGGCUGUCAGGUGCGUAAUCCGCACACCUUGGUACUCAAGAUCAAGGCCUCGUUUUUUUUUUUUUUUUUUCCAAGCCAAGGAAUCCACCGUGUCGACGAAUAUUCCAAAACGCUGACGCAAAAGACACACGUACGACGUUUUUACGCAAUUUUUUUUUUCUUUCGUCACACUCGAGUCUCUACGUAGAAAUUAAUAUUCCUCUUUUUGCAGAGUCGCCGAGAGCACUGAUCGCAGAGAUAUAUAUACAUCGACCUGAGUGUGACCCACACGUGGCAUUGACGAGACAUACAUCAGAGGUCGGGACCGAACCAACGAGAUUAACCUUAAUAUCAAAAGCUUACCUACACGUAGGAAACCUUAGAGUAUCAUUUCAUGCAGUGAAGUUUAGAAAAAUCUAUACGGUGCAUUUUACACCCUGGAAGGACACAACGAGAAUGUAUGCUCGUUUAUCUCAAGCAAUAAAACUCAAGGCAAGUGUCGAAUAAAACGAUCCGCAUUUUAUUAUUGCCGGUAUAGAUGUGUACAACACAAGUGCAGUUCAUGGGUCAUUAUCGCGCUCUGUCGUGCGAUUGGUAAGUGAUAACUAGAAUUCUAGCUCACGUCGGAGAUCUCUGGCAAGAAAUGUGCAUCGUGCUGCACUAGCGAUAGGGAAAUAAAAAUAAAGAUGCCACGUCAGGCCGAGCGUGACCAUCUCCGCUUCCGGAUUGAAAUGUGCUUACAGAGAUAGAAGGAUCGGCUGCAUUGGGAGGGCCCGAGACGUGGACCUUCGGAACGCCGAAGCCUUCAACCUGACCUUGACCGUGGCCAUGAAGAGGACCAUGUGCGCUGCCAUGGUGUCCUUGGGCCGUCGUGGAAUCAUCGCUGUCACUGCUGGGAACCUGCUCCGACCCUACUCCUCCACGGGGCCUGAAAAAGAGGACGCGAUAAUCCCAAUGGAUGUCCCCUGGAUCGGCGCAUGAUCUCGCGCAUGCCGCACCUGUGGUGAGUUGUGUCGUAGCUGGCCGUCCAGUAGAGGGGCGCCACUGUCCCGUCUCGACGAUCACAGGGAUGGCAUUCAAACUAGCCCCGAGUACCGCGAGAUACCACCCGGGUCCUCAUUCCCACACGUCCCGCUCCACGAUAAGGAGCCCACCCGACUUCCCGCGCGAUUUCCUUGCCGCAAAUCCUGCGCAGUCAAUCGAUAGACCUCGGAAGCUGCUCUCGAGAUGCCGUAAGCUCCAAUCGGCCCGGAUGCCCAAGUGAUGAAUCUUCCUCUCCCCGUCUCUUUAAACCGUCCCUGCAGCUUCCUUAUAUUUCAGGAUCCUCCCCCCUGGACUCGGGACCUCGAGAGAUUCCAAGAUUCUGAGUCGGCUUCGAUCUCGAAAUACCUCCGGUAACUGGAACGACGUCUUCGACGGUUUCUCCGAAGAGCACUCUUUUGGAAUCUUCCUCGUGGGCGAAAAAAAAUCCCCAGCAAUUGGGUCGAGAUGUCAACCUCGAGAGACCGUACCGAGAUGCAGCCGCCAGGUGGUGGUCGGCGACCUGCGGCUGGACCUCGCGGUUCCGCUGCCGAUGGUGGUACUGCUGGGGCUCAGCCUGCUGCUCCUGCUCCUGCUCCUACUCCUCUCGAGGCGUGUUUCGAAGGCUCCUUUCUCUUCCUGCCUCCGACACUCCUCCCGACGAGGUCACGCGGUUUCUCACGGGGUCUUCCGGAGGUACCCUCCCAGGCUCACCCCUUUUACUUGCGGAAAAUACGGCAAUGCGACGCGCGACAACGCGGUGCGGCCUACGUCUCCCGGUGCGCUCCUCUUCCCGUCUCUCGCGGACGGCGCUCUCGCCAUCCGCGCACCCUCUCUCGGCCAAUCGCGUCUGCGCCCUGCCUCUGGAGCCGGCGAGCUCACCUAUUGACCGACUCCGACUCCGAGCCGAUCCGCGUCGAUCCCGACGAGAGACUCGCGCAUACUCCGGCACGCUCCGGCGCACUCGAUGAGCUUAACCUCCACGCCUCCUGCCCGAUCAGCUGAUCACCCUCUCCGGAUGCGCGCUUGAAUGGAGCCCCAGCAGGACUUUCUUUAAAAAUGUCACGUUUCGAAAAUAUCUUUCAUUUAUACGACAUUCCAUUAUCAUAAUUAUAAGUCGAAUUUUCUAUAGAUAAAUGUUCUAACGAGGUGUCCGUUCUCCUGCAGGAAUUAAGGCAGGGGCAGAACGCGGCGAUCAGCUGAUCGGCCUUAUUGGACGCGCACCUGAAUGGAGGCUUAGCAGGCCGUCACUUUAAGAGAUUUCUUAAAAACUUCCUAUUUUUAACGUUCCCAUGAUUCACGACUGUCUAUCCUCAGAAUUAAAGUUGGAAUUUCCUAAAGAGGUGUCCGUUGUCCCGCUGAAAUUGAGGCAGCGAUUUAAUGCGGCGAUCAGCUGAUCGCCCGACCUUGAAUGGAGAUGCCGAGGAAGGAACGACACGUGUACUUGCACGUGCACGUAGUAGAGACGUUUAUCCGCGAUAGAGAUAUCUAGCUUGAAUUAAUCUUGGAAAUUCGAAGCCAUUAUGAGUUUUCCCGCGAUAUUUCCCCGUGGAGGACACGCUUUGCCCUGCAGGUGAGACGGCAGGUUCCGCUUGAUGCCGGUGGGUCCAAUCUUCGUUGAUGCAGGAUGCACGAGAAUAACGGACUUAAUUGAUGAAGUCAUGGCAGAAAUUACUCCUCAGGGUUCGGCAGCACGUGCUGCCGAGGGUACCCGAUGAAUGGCACUUAUUAAAACCUAUCUUCUUUUCCUU